CUACGGGCGGCAGCAGUGAGGAAUAUUGCGCAAUGGGGGAAACCCUGACGCAGCGACGCCGCGUGGAUGAUGAAGGCCUUCGGGUCGUAAAAUCCUGUCAGAAGGGAAGAAGUGUAUGGUAGCUAAUAUCUGCCAUACUUGACGGUACCUUCAAAGGAAGCACCGGCUAACUCCGUGCCAGCAGCCGCGGUAAUACGGAGGGUGCAAGCGUUGUUCGGAAUUACUGGGCGUAAAGCGCGCGUAGGCGGUUUUAUAAGUCAGAUGUGAAAGUCCACGGCUCAACCAUGGAAGUGCAUUUGAAACUGUAAGACUUGAGUAUUGGAGGGGGUAGUGGAAUUCCCGGUGCAGAGGUGAAAUUCGUAGAUAUCGGGAGGAAUACCGGUGGCGAAGGCGACUAUCUGGCCAAAUACUGACGCUGAGGUGCGAAAGCGUGGGGAGCAAACAGGAUUAGAUACCCGCGUAGUC
rnacentral:rRNA from 1 species